UACGUAGGUGGCAAGCGUUGUCCGGAUUUACUGGGCGUAAAGAGCGCGCAGGCGGUCGUUUAAGUCGAAUGUGAAAGCCCCCGGCUCAACUGGGGAGGGUCAUUCGAUACUGAUCGACUUGAAGGCAGGAGAGGGAAGUGGAAUUCCGGGUGUAGUGGUGAAAUGCGUAGAUAUCCGGAGGAACACCAGUGGCGAAGGCGGCAUCCUGGACCGGUAUUGACGCUGAUGCGCGAAAGCCAGGGGAGCAAACGGG
rnacentral:rRNA from 1 species